rnacentral:lncRNA from 1 species
GGAAAUUGAAAAUGCUUUAAUUUUAAAAACACUGAUAUAAACUUUAUACUCAAGUGCCUUGAAGGUCCAGUACUAUUUGGUUUAUUUGAGUGUAUGAUUUAAUACCUUUCCUAACUGAAAAAGACACAUAAAAGCAUUUUUAUUCAAAGGAAAGAAUUAUAUCAUUAUCUUUACCAAAUUCUGGUACUCAUUUUUAAGUACCAUUUAAUCAAGUAUACAAAAAUUUUCAAUUUUUAUAUAGAAAAUAUCAGUUUAUCCUGAUUUCACUCAAUUUUCCUGUAAACUAAUCAAAAGGUGUAACAUUCUGAUGUAACGAGGAAUUUAUAACUUGCUGAAAUUCUUUAUUUGAUAUUAUUUUGAAUAUUUUUGAGAAAAGAAAAAAUGGCUUAAAAUUAAACCAUGGUUUCUUGGCUGUUAUUGAAAGAUAUACCUCAAGAAGUAACCAAAUCAGCCACGUCGAAAAGAAUGAGUAUUCCAGAAGCUUCUUCCAAAGAAAGCUUGAAUGUGCUGACUCUCUUUGAGGUUCUUUUCAUUUGCUGAUCUGCUCCAGAGGAUGGAAAAGCUCAAUUCCAGACUUUACCAUUCUGCUUUAGGAACAGAGGGAACCCUGAAGGGGGCUUUGUUUUUCCUUUGUACAGCUAAUGGUCUAUUUUUAUGAAUAUAAGUAUAAGGCAGUAUUUUAUGUAACAGUUCUUCCCAUGCUUUAGGAAUAGCCUAUGAAAUGUGUUUUCCAGUGAUCAUAUUAUUAAUAUUCUUCAUCAAUAGCUGAAUGGAACAACUGUUUUCUCUGCUGAAAGAAAGCAUUUAUUUAUUUGGUAGAUUUAGAGUAAGUUAAGGAUGGGUGUUUGUCAUAGUGAUUAAUACUCUGCUUGGGACUCCUACAUCUCAUAUCAGAGGGGGUUCAAGUCCUGACUCCAUUCCUGAUGCCAGGUGCCUGCUACUUUGCACCCUGGGAGGCAGCUGUGUGGCAUGAUUCUUGGAAAAAAAUAAAGGCAAAUAUCCUGAAAUUAGUUCUUUUCAUCCAACCUGAGAAUCUCAAUUUUUCAGGCAUCAAGAUCGCCAAUCUGACUUCUUUCCUAACCCUUCAGUUAUGCUCUAGUAUUGCCCUCCAGCUCAUUAGUGUGUGGAAAGAGAAGUCCAGUCUGGCUCCAAGCAUUGACUACAGUGGAGCGGAUUCACAGCCCAGGUGA